rnacentral:rRNA from 1 species
GCUCAGGAUGAACGCUAGCUACAGGCUUAACACAUGCAAGUCGAGGGGUAGCAGGGUAGCAAUACCACUGACGACCGGCGCAUGGGUGAGUAACACGUAUCCAACCUUCCCAUAACUCGGGGAUAGCCUUUCGAAAGAAAGAUUAAUACCCGAUAGUACUUUAUUAAGGCAUCUUAAGAAAGUUAAAGAUUUAUUGGUUAUGGAUGGGGAUGCGUUCCAUUAGAUAGUUGGUGAGGUAACGGCUCACCAAGUCUUCGAUGGAUAGGGGUUCUGAGAGGAAGGUCCCCCACAUUGGUACUGAGACACGGACCAAACUCCUACGGGAGGCAGCAGUGAGGAAUAUUGGUCAAUGGGCGAGAGCCUGAACCAGCCAAGU